rnacentral:piRNA from 1 species
UAUCAAGAAUGGCCCUAGUCACUGGGGAUAGC